rnacentral:rRNA from 1 species
UACGGGGGGAGCAAGCGUUGUUCGGAAUUACUGGGCGUAAAGAGCUUGUAGGUGGUUUGUCGCGUUGUUCGUGAAAUCUCACGGCUCAACUGUGAGCGUGCGGGCGAUACGGGCAGACUAGAGUACUGCAGGGGAGACUGGAAUUCCUGGUGUAGCGGUGGAAUGCGCAGAUAUCAGGAGGAACACCGGUGGCGAAGGCGGGUCUCUGGGCAGUAACUGACGCUGAGAAGCGAAAGCGUGGGGAGCGAACAGG